GGUGGUGGCACUGGGGGAUGGGGGUAGAGAGGUAGAGGCUGACUGGGGUGGCAGACUCUGUACAGGCUGAGCAGGAGCAUGGAGGCUGAGGCCGCCCGCGGAGCCACAGAGGCUUACCCUGUGGACAUCCUGGAGGAUGACCCGGAGGGCUAUCAGGUAGCAGCGCAGACUUACUAUGAGUUGCUCAGGGAAGGAGCGCAGACCUCAACAGAAGUUAUCUCUCUUUCCACUGGGGAGCAGGUCAGACUUGAAACUUCAUCUCUCUGUUUUUGCACACUGUACCGUGAUGAACCUCAACAUAAAAUACUGGUUUUGGUUAAUCCCCAAGACACAAAGACAGUUGUGGCUGUUUACUUAAAGGAAUCCUGGUGGUCCGUCGAACACGUCCUAAGAACUUCGGAUCCCACACGGCAAGGGCUCAUGAAGGUUCAGUCCUUUGGGGAAAGGAUCGUUCUUUUUGUUCUCAACACCAUUGUUUUUGGAAGACUGGAGAGAAGGCUGGACAGCGAUGACAUGUUUUUCUUACCUCACCCUGCGAAGGAGCAAGCUAAGGUUCUGUGGAGAGAUGGAGCUGCGGUUGGAUUUUACUCAAUCAAGAUGAAAGGUAGCCUCUGUGGAGAUGGUACUGGCGCAUGCUACCUGCUGCCUGUCUUUGACACCGUGUUUGUAAGGAGGAAGAACCGUUGCCAAGGCCUGGGGACAGCAAUGCUGAGGGACUUCUGUGACACCUUUCACGGAGACGAAGCCCUGGGUAUCAGUUGUCCGAUAUCUCCUGCAAUGUAUAAAGUCCUCAGGCAGUUCCUGUUGACCUGUCCAGGCGAGAGAGGGCGCUUGUGGGAGGUGGAUCCCCCGGGGGCCUGGGGCCAGCGUGUUAACAUCUGGCUCAAAGUUUAUCUUCGGGAGCGGACGCGUCAAGAUGGGAGCACUGUGCACCCUAAAUGUUCUGAAGAGGACACGGACACUCCCAGGCAGACCUCUCAGGAUGAUGGACCCACACACUUUAAUCAAGGAGAAAGCCACAGGAACGGAUCAUUGGAGAACCAGAGAGGACACAGAAUGACCAACAAUGUAUCAAAACUUGGAUAUCCCUGAGACCCUCCUGGGAUGAGAUAGAGGGGAAGGGAGCUCAGAGGACAUUGGCAGCCUCUGGGCUGGUUGGUGAGCCAUGGCAGAAGCAUGUGAGGAAGAGAGUUAGGUGUGAACUUGACACCUAACUCCUGAGAGGUCCGUCUGGAUUCCCCAGGAUCUGAGCCUGAGGGUGGUGUCCAUUAUCUCUGGCUCCCCUUGUAGGGUCUGAAGAACUCAAUGGGAGCCACUUUUGAAAGGCAACUGAUGGCAGAUCCAAGACUUCAGAAGCUCAUUCCUUUACCACUGCGUCUAUUCCCAAGGUGUAUAGGAGGGAGUUGCAUGAGACCACGCGAAUGAGUGUGUCCCCUUUCCCUUGGUGGAAAUUGUCUCAGAGAUGGACCAAGUGUAUCACAAACUAGAAUCACCUGACUAGGGAGCCUCACUUGAAGAAGUGUCAGCCCUGAUUGAUGUGGCAAGACCUGCCCUGAUUGUGGGCAGCACCUUCUGGUAGAGCCUGGAUGAAAGGGUUUGUCAGAAGGAAGCUCAUCUGUAUCAGCACCCUUGGCCUCCUCCUGGUGGCUGAGUGGAUUUACCUAUUGCUCCUGCUAAUUCCACCACAGACAGCAGAACCGUUGUUUCCAGUGUCACUGUGGGCCAAGGACCAGUGUCUCCCCAGGAACCUUACAGGUCUCCAGCACCAGAUUGGGUCUGCUGAAGUGCCAGGCCAGGUGGACUGAGAAGCUCCCACCAGCUCCCCUCUCCUGCUUCAGUGAGAGAGACCGUGGGACUCCUACUGCUGGGGCACCAGCCUCACGGACAGAGUAACCGCCAGGUAUGCAGCUUUAGGGGUGAUCCUGCUGUUACUACCUAAGGCUGACUGUACUGGCUGGUUCUGUGUGUCAACCUGACACAAGCUGGAGUUAACACAGAGAAAGGAGCCUCCCUUGAGGAAAUUCCUCCAUGAGACCCAGCUGUAAGGCAUUUUCUCAACUAGUGAUCAAGUGGGGGAGGGCCAGACCAUUGUGGGUGGUGCUGUCCCUGGACUGGUGGUCCUGGGUUCUAUAAGAAAGCAAACUGAGAAGGCAGGGGAAGCAAGCCGGUAACAUUCCUCCAUGGCCUCUUCACUAGCUCCUGCCUCCUGAUCUGCUUGAGUUCCAGCCUUGGCUUCCUUUGGUGAUGAAAAGCAAUGUGGAAGUCAACAGAACAAUAAGACAGAAGUUGCUCCACACAGCAAUAUCAUGUGAUAGGCCUGACCAUGCUGUUUGCUGGAAGAAUGUGGAAGACUUUGGGACUUUGAAUGCUCUAAUGCUCUGCACUAAUUAACUUGAGUGCUGGAAGUGACUCAAUGGAACAUCCUAGUAGGAUCAUGGAGGAGAGAGUAGGGCUGAGGAUGAUGCAGACUCUGCAGGUGCACCUCAAGAAGUUUCUGAGGGCAAGAAAUAUUAGCAAGAGACCUAGAGAACGUGCUUACGCUUUGGCAAAGAAUGUACGUGUCUGCUUUCUGCCCUUGCCUUAAAAACCUACCUGAGCAUUAUUGAAGAAUUUUAGAUUCGUGUCCUUGGCAGAGGAGAUUUCAAGACGGCCUAGUAUUGACUGUAUCACACAGUUACUAGUGGCCACUCAUAGGCAGAUCCCAAUGAAAAAGAAGGAGCAAGGCAAAGAGAAAUAAAAAUGUACAUUGGGAAACGAAGCCAAACUCUGUGCUCAAGGAGAGUUUUUUUUAAAAGGCUCAUUUUUUAAAUGGAAUAAAGGGAGUGUAACUUCAGGGCAAGACCCCACCCAGCUAAUCUGCAACCUAGAAAGAGAUAAAAGACUUGGGAUAUUUUUAGGCUUAAACAACAAAGGAAAGUUUACGCAAAUGCAAGUCAGUGACUGGGGCAAGUUCAAGCACCAGCAAGCAGCAGAACUUGGCGGCCUCAGCCAUAAACCUUUAUGAAGUUCUGGCUUUAUCAAGGAAUAUGAUAUGGGAAAGGGGCUCUGGAACCUUCCUCUGUGGCUAAAGAAAGCCAAGGAGGCACAGGAAUCCCCGUGUGAAGGCCCAGAGAAGCCAUUAUGUGAAACUGUGAAAACUAAGCUUGGAUUUUAUUGGAAACUUCAAAAAGUUGGAGAUGCCAACGCCGUGGGAUACCUGCCAGGAAGAGCUGAUAACAGGGAGUGGAACCAUUCCAAGAGAAAGAAGUGUGCUGCAGUCAACGACACUGGAAGGAGUUGGAGAUCUGAAGAGCACUUUGACAUCAGACAUGGAGAUGCAGAAUUUGGAGUUUGCCCAGCUGGCCUUCAGUCUUGAUUUGGUCCAGUGUUUCCUCACUGAGCUCCCUUUCCUCCCUGUUGGAGUGGUAAUGUAUGUUCUGUGCCAUUGUAUGUUGGAAGCAUGUAAUUUGCCUCCUGGUUUUUUAGGAGGUCACAGUUAAGAGAUUGCAAGAGUCUCAGAGGUGGCUUUGGACUUUAGAAAAGGUUUGAAACAGAAAGACUAUGGGGAUUUUGGACUUGGACUAAAUGCAUUUUGCAUUAUGAUAUAAGCCAGUGGGGUCAGGGAACAGGAUGUGGUAGUUUAAAUAAGAAUGGUCCUCAUAGGCUCAUUUGUUUAAAUGCUUGGUCCCCAGUUAGUGGAACUGUUUGGGAAGGAUUAUGAGGUGUGGCCUUGCUGGUGUAGGUGUGUCAUUGGGGGUGAGCUUUGAGGUUUCAAAAACCCAUGCCAGGCCCAGUGUCUCUUCCUGCCUGCAGACUGCUGAUUAUGAUACAGCUCUCAGUUACUUUUUCAGCACCAUCCCUGGCUGCCAUCCUGCUCCCAGCCAUUAUGAUAAUGGACUGACCCUCUGAAGCUGUACGCAAGCCCCCAAUUAAAUGCUUUCUCUUGGUGUGUCUUCACAAUAAUACAACAGCAACUAAGAUAGUGUAUGUUUUUAGGCACACACACACACACACACACACACACACACACACACACACACGCACGCACACACACCAUCCCAUUGGUUCUGUUCUUUUUGAGAAUACUGGUUUAUAUAUCCUGUCUAUAGAAGGCAAUCUGAACACUUGAAUUUGUAGUUCUCUUUGUAGAGAGUAACUGGUCUGUAGCUAGAAGGUGCUCCUUCCCCCCAAAUCCCAGGAUCGGGGAUAGAACCCAGGGCCUCCCGAUGUCCAGCCAGAGUGGCUUCUACCCUGCCCUGCAGAUGGCAGUUUUAAGUUAGGUCCUUGAGUUUUCAUUUUGAGAAGUUGUGUGUAUUAGAGUUCUCUAGAGAAACAGGUAGAAUGAAUCUAUAUAUGGAAAGGAGAUUUAUUAUACUGACUCAUAGGUUAUGAUCCUGUUAUUCUAACAAUGGCUGCCUAGGAACGGAAGGUCCAAGAGUCUCGUAGUUUUUCAGUCCACAAGGCUGGACGUCUCAGUCGGUCUUCGGUAUCCAGUGGGAUCCUGAAGGUGUAGAUUGUAAUGUCAGUGACGGAGUGGACUUGCCAGCGAGCGUGAAGGCAAGCAGGCAGAGGGCAAGCUUCCUUCUUCCAUGUCCUUGUAUAAGCUGACAGCAGAAGGUGUGGCCCAACUCAAAGAUCCAAUUAGAAUUGAAUCCAGGUCUGUCCUCCAUUUCUGGGUUUUAGUUACUUCCGGGUAUAGUCAAGUUGACAACCAAGAAUAGCACCACACUGAGAUACACGUUUUCUCCGUCGGCUCUUCCUCUUUGGUGCCUUUGCUUCAGAGCACAGAAAACUGCUGUGGAAAAGGGAGAGAAAUGAGUGGAUGCUGUUCUGAGCUUGAACCACCACACAAGAGCAAGGAGUCCCAGAGUGUUCCCAGCUGAAGCUCUGGCCAGGAGAGCCCCAGGUCAGCUCCAGACAAGACAUCAGGAGGGAGUGAUUUCCUUCCAUGCCACAGUGAUCGAGGUGCUUCUGUGAGGAAUCAAAGGCUGCUUAAUGGAAUUGGCUAAUCCUUUACAACUUCAUUUCCAUCAGACAUGGCGCAUUUGCUUGAGACUCUGACAAAGAGUAGACAGAAUGGGGAGAAGCUAGUCAGCCUCAGGACAGCAAGCUUGGUGAUACUGGAGACAGAAAUUAAGGCCAGAACUGGAUGCCUCCUGUGCUUACAGUACAGUGGCCAUGACUGCCUGGUGCCCAGCUCUCUGAGGUGGCGUUCAGGGAGGUUCUGGGAUGUGGGGAUAUGGAGUAGGCAAGCAGUGCUAUGAUGAUUGAUUCAUUUUAUAAAUGAAAAUAAAUACUUAGGGUUUUUUGCUCUUUCUUUUGAGACAGUUUUUCCCCCCUGUGUAGCUCUGGCUGUCCCGGAGCUCCCUUGCAGACCAGGCUGGCCUUGGACUCAGACCUGCCCUCCUCUGCCUCCCAAGCGCUGGGAUUAAAGGUGUAUUUUUUGUUUUUCAUCUUGCUAGCCCUAGUUGGUCUUGUACCAGCCAACUCCCUGCUUCAGUUUCCUGAAUUCUAUAGGAUUCUACAGUUUCUAUGUUAGGAAAAAAAAAACAAAUGUGUGUGUGUGUGUGUGUGUGUGUGUGUGUGUGUGUGUGUGUGCACACAUGCAUGCAUACUACAUAUUAGAGCCAGGACCUUCUGCAGCUAGGCCAGUGCCUAGAUACUGAUCUAUAUCUCCAGCCUCCAGAAAUAAAAGUAAGCUUCAUUUUAAAACUGGCCGAAGCUUAAAAAGUUUGAUAAAAGUUGCUUCAUCCUUCUCAAAAGCUUGUAUGUGCCAAUGUGCUUCCACCUCCUCUUGUGUGGUACAGGAUUCCUUCAGUCCUCGUGACAGUCGAGAGGAGAGCUGGGGAGAAGGAGUGCCACUCCGUGAUCUCUCUAGUAACAUGUGGUUGACAGGAGUCACACCAGGGUUUGAGUCCAAAGACCUGGCCCAUUGCCUUUUGAUAAAUAACAAUGCCCAGACACUGCAGUUCCAAGCCUCAUGGGCAUUGUUGGACAUGUAUAGACCACCAGCCCGAGAAGGAUCCUCUGAAAGCUCAAGGGGUAGUGCAGGGGACAGAAGCGUUUGCUCGGUAAAUGUCCCAUCCACCUCGUUCUGACUGCGGGUGGCUCCAGCUCUUAAUUUACUGCAUCCCAUCUGUGGAUUCAACAACUCCCGGAAUGUGUGCUAUACAAAGUUGCCAGUGUCACCAAACAUGAAAGCCUGUUUCCCCUGUCAUUAUGCCCCCCAAUGACACAGCUUAACAACUAUUCACACAGCAUUUGCACAUUAGAUUCUGGGUGUCAUCUUGCAAUGACUUAGUCUUUAGAAUGCGAAUUCUAUGCAAAUACAGCAUUUAAAAAAAAAGAUUUAUUUAUUUUAUGUAUGUGAGUACACUGUCGCUGUCUUCAGACACACCAGAAGAGGGCAUCGGAUCUCAUAACAGAUGGUUGUGGACCACCAUGUGGUUGCUGGGAAUUGAACUCAGGACCUCUGGAAGAGCAGUCAGUACUCUUAAGGGCUGAGCCAUCUCCUCCAGCCCCCCCGAACAGCGUUUUAUAUGAAACACUGGAGAGUCUCAGAUCCAGAGAUAGGAUAGGAGGGUUGCUUUAGGACUGAUCCACAUGGGAUUCCAAAGGUCUGUGUUUGGUCUUGACCUGCAGAAUUUGCACUCGUGUGUAAUCAGGAUCCCUGCACACCAUGCUUCAUCUACGUCGCAGACUCCGCCCUGUUGAACGGCAGAGAAUGUAAUCCAGGUGACUCCACACUCCUUCCAGAGUCAACUCCAGACAGGACUGCACGUCUUUCUUUUUGUCACCUACUAGAAGGGCAGAGGCUCGGUGAUACUGAGCAUCAUCCGAGCUUGCCCCAAACUGGUGGCACCUCCAUGGUUGUUCCAUCGUCCUUUCUGGGCUCCCAGUCAUGCCGGCCACGGAACUGAGCUGGUGACCUUUCCCACCUGGACCCUGCCUGUGACUGUAUUAGCACCAGCCCAUGAUGGUGCCACCACCUCCCCUAGUACUAACCAUGAAGUUACACCAUGACUUGCUGGUUUUCUUCUUCCUGUCUGUUCUGUUCCUGUUUCUGUCUGCGAUCAUUUGUCUGCCUCUCUUCCUGAAAUGCAAUAGCUGUGCUUUGGGGCCCAUUUGGAACCCCCAGGCACCCACCCCGCAGCUCUGGGACCCAGGCCACUUCUGCAGCGCUACCUUCUAAGAAAACUUCAGGUAAGCUAUUGUUAGCUGAGCACUUACUUGGUGCUAGGCUGGAACCCUGCAUGCGGAGGGCCUCGGGAACUCUGAACACGGAAUCCAACCCUGGAAUGAGAGCAAGCUCAAGUGACACGUUACAAGAUGACUGCGGAACACAAGUGCCAUGCUGGAGACUGCUUUUUCUAGAGAACCUUCUGACUACUCGCCCUGAUAGACUUCGUACACAUCUCUGCCUCAGGUAGCGAGGGCUCACAUCAUGUGACUUGGGAGGCGUCCUGGAGAAGACUGAGAGCAGAGAGCAGCAUUCGAAUCUCAUUUCUCUCAAAAACGAAGUUGUCAGCUUAGUUGACCUAUCACCCAAAACAAAACAUAAACAAAAACAAAAACAAGCAAGCAAACAAACUAAAAAUCCGAAACAAACCAGGCUGCGCACACAAGCGCUCCUGGGUCCCGGGAGCAAUACCUGCAGUUGCCACACGAUGGCAGCAUCACACACACCCUCAUCUUGUGAAGUCCCAGAAGACACUUCACCAUCCCACCCACAAACAUCAUUAAUAACAGUAUGUAUUUCCCUCCGGGGAAAGAAAUAGGGAGUGCCAACGUACCACUCCCCACCCCUGCCCCCGUGCAACAGAACGCAUCUGUUUUAAAAAAGGACUAGGCUGGGCCAGUCCGUUUCCCAAAUUUGAAUGAUGUGACAAGAUUAAAUGCAGUGGUGAAUGAGGCCUUCAGCCUGCCUCUUCUCCUCCUCUUCCCUCCUCUGUCUUCUUUCCUCCCUUGUCUCCUCCUUCCUCCACAUUCUUCCUUCUUUCUCCUCCCGUCUCCUCUCACUGAUAAAUACAUUAAGCAUGCACCAGGGGCACAGACUUCACAGUUCUAUAAGUUUCUCACUAACUUCAUAAACUAGGCCACAAGUAAAUAAAUAAAUAAAUAAACUCCUUCACAAAUUACCUCAAAGAGCAGGUGGCAUCUGCUGUGAGCGGCCCGGAGGCUGCUUGCUUCUCCAAGCCUGACUUGGGAUGCACAGAGCUGUGGGAUCCUUCCCAUUCCUCCUGCAGCUCCCUUCCGCCGGCCUCCUCCCUCCGCACACAGGGCACAGUCCUGACAGCUUCCAGUGGGAAAGGGAACCGGCAGUCAGAGAGACUCAGCAUCCCUCUGUGAUUUUGGGGUAGGGUUCUUUAAUCUCUGGACUGUCAGUUUGGGCACACAUUUGCUUUCAGGUUUUUGAUUUUUACGUUGCCUGCCUUUUUCUUCUUAGCCUUGGCAGCCAAGUGUUUGGGAACCGUGUCGCCUCUUUGUAAAAGGACAGCAAUGGUCCUCUUGCAGGAUUCACUGGGAAACUGGAGGUGUAUGGGUGUUUGUCUUCUAUUUGAGGAUGCCCAGAGGAUGCCCAGGUCACACAUGUUUAGGACAAAGCAGCUGGCAACAAUGUGUCCAAGAUCCUCCCAACCACUGUGCAUCAAUGCUCCUCAGAGCUCUCACGCUGAGCUCAGGGUGCUUCCCUCCUAUUGAAGUUUAACUCGUGGGCAUUCUUUCCACAUGAGUUUCCCCUCCAUGGACGGGUUGUUAAGCUGAGGGCUGGCACAGACCCUUGGACAUGGUGAGCAUGUUCCCUGUCCUCCUUGAGCUUUCUGGCUAGUGCAGCAUCUUCCUCUACAAGAAACAAUAAGGGGUCUAGCAUCCUAGUUUCACCCUAGUGUUGACCAUAGCAUCCUAACAUCCAUAUAGUCUCAAACCGUGCUGAUGCCAACGGAUUAGCAGAGUCAGCACAGAGGCUGCUAUCAUAAGAACAGAAGAUGGAGAGAGAAUGGUCCUCUGUUGCUGGCUGCCCUCAGUUCUAUUCCAAUACUAGAGGGUGGGUUGGAAGCAAAGAAUCCAACUGGGGUAUUCAGACUGGAUUAGGAGCUCCAUGAAGCUAGGUCAGGGAUUGAAGCAAAAGAUCAAAGCCAGUUGCAAGCUUGGGUUGCUGGGAAAAGCCCCAGGAACACUUGGAUUCUGUCAAAUCUGGUGGCCUUCUUAGUAUGCAUCCUUUAAGGACAUGCCCUGAGGCGGGUGGCCUGGGCACAACCUGGUGAGUUUCUGUGAUGGUUUGCAUGUGCUUGGUCCAGGGAGCGGCACUAUUAGAAGGUGUGGCCUUGUUGGAGGAAGUGUGUCACUGUGGGGUGGGCUUGGAGACCCUCCUCCUCACUGCUUGGCUAUGCUCAGUCUGUUCCUGGCUUCCUUCAGGUGAAGAUGUAGAACUCAGCUCCUCCUGCACCAGGCCUGCCUGGAUGCUGCCAUGCUCCUGUCUUGAUGAUAAUGGAUUGAACCUCUGAACCUGUAAGCCAGCCCUAAUUAAAUGU